UGGUUGUAUUCUUACAGAAAAGAGCUAGUUUAUCGUAUUUUAUACAUGUACUUUCCGUUUUAUGAUUUAGAGUUAUAUCCCUUUGUACACUGUACUGUCUAUGUAUUUACGUUUUGUUAUUUGUGUACUUUCAGGGUUGAUUUAUUUAUGUCGUAUGAAUAAAGCAUCUUAAACUUGACGAAUCCUUUUAUUCUGUCCAAGAACCCUAUUACAUUU
rnacentral:lncRNA from 1 species